rnacentral:rRNA from 1 species
GAUGAACGCUGGCGGCGUGCCUAAUACAUGCAAGUCGAGCGAACGGACGAGAAGCUUGCUUCUCUGAUGUUAGCGGCGAACGGGUGAGUAACACGUGGAUAACCUACCUAUAAGACGGGGAUACCUUGGGGAAACGGAGCCUAUUACCGAUUAUAUUUUUUAACCCAUAGUUUAAAAUUUAAAAGAUGUCAUUGCAUCACUUAAAGAUGGAUCCGCGCUGUAUUAGCUAGUUGGUAAGGUAACGGCUUACCAAGGCAACGAUGCAUAGCCGACCUGAGAGGGUGAUCGGCCACACUGGAACUGAGACACGGUCCAGACUCCUACGGGAGGCAGCAGUAGGGAAUCUUCCGCAAUGGGCGAAAGCCUGACGGAGCAACGCCGCGUGAGUGAUGAAGGUCUUCGGAUCGUAAAACUCUGUUAUUAGGGAAGAACAUAUGUGUAAGUAACUGUGCACAUCUUGACGGUACCUAAUCAGAAAGCCACGGCUAACUACGUG